rnacentral:rRNA from 1 species
AUUGAACGCUGGCGGCAUGCUUUACACAUGCAAGUCGAACGGUAACAGGUUAAGCUGACGAGUGGCGAACGGGUGAGUAAUGCAUCGGAACGUGCCCGGUCGUGGGGGAUAACGCAGCGAAAGCUGCGCUAAUACCGCAUACGAUCUAAGGAUGAAAGCGGGGGACCGUAAGGCCUCGCGCGAUCGGAGCGGCCGAUGUCAGAGUAGGUAGUUGGGUGGGUAAAGGCCCACCAAGCCAACGAUCUGUAGCUGGUCUGAGAGGACGACCAGCCACACUGGGACUGCGACACGGCCCAGACUCCUACGGGAGGCAGCAGUGUGGAAUGUUGGACAAUGGGCGAAAGCCUGAUCCAGCAAUGCCGCGUGCAGGAAGAAGGCCUUCGGGUUGUAAACUGCUUUUGUACGGAGCGAAAAGGUCUCCUCUAAUACAGGGGGCUCAUGACGGUACCGUAAGAAUAAGCACCGGCUAACUACGUGCCAGCCGCCGCCGUAA